AAUGAGUUUUAGUAUCUGCCUCUCUGGAUUCUGCUACUGAGCCAGGACUCCUGCCUGUGGAAGAAGAAGUGCUUUCUUUCCUCAGUGACUUUGUCUACUGUCACUGUGCCUUGUCACUGCACCCAAGUAAUGCCAGAGCCAGUCACCCACCUUGUCAGCUCUACACCUCUACCAGCACCCGGCCCUCUCCAAGCUCAUCAUUAUUGUCAAUAAAAACCCCAGUCCAGGAGAGCAGAAGCCAUCCUAUCCGUGAGUGAAACCCUACACUUCCCCCCAUGCAGUUCCUUCACAGUCUGUCCUCCCAUCCACAAGGUUGCUGAACCUCACCUUAACUCAUUCUUUAACAACCCUGGACUGUCGCCUUGGAUUUUAUGAUAAUCCCAUCUUGAUUUCUGGCACCUGCAGAAGAGAUAUUCUGGAUUAUUAUCACAUGCUAAUGAUGCUGCCCCACUGCUGAUUCUGGGUGUCAGUGCUGGAGGCGGAGAGACUUACACCUUCAGCAACGUUGACUGGGUGAUAGGCCAGACUGGACAACUUGAUGGUGGUAAUAAGUUAAACAAAACAGAGCCAAACCAAAGCCAAGAUGGAACUGCGACUGGG